CAGGGACCUAUGGAUUUCACUGAAAUCCAGGAGACUCCGCGAGGCCCAUCACAACAGGAACUUCCGACUUCGCCAUCAACCCCAGCCUCUGUUGGGACACCAAGAAGGAGGAGACGAGCAAUGGAGGACUCACCCGAAAAAGCCUAUCUGCGAGCAAGGGCUACAUGGUUCUCUGCAAUGCAAGCUCAGUCAA
rnacentral:lncRNA from 1 species